CCUACGGGAGGCUGCAGUGGGGAAUAUUGGACAAUGGGGGCAACCCUGUUCCAGCCAUGCCGCGUGUGUGAAGAAGGCCCUCGGGUUGUAAAGCACUUUCAGUGAGGAAGAACGCCUGGUGGUUAAUACCCAUCAGGAAAGACAUCACUCACAGAAGAAGCACCGGCUAACUCCGUGCCAGCAGCCGCGGUAAUACGGAGGGUGCGAGCGUUAAUCGGAAUUACUGGGCGUAAAGCGCGCGUAGGUGGCUUGAUAAGCCGGUUGUGAAAGCCCCGGGCUCAACCUGGGAACGGCAUCCGGAACUGUCAAGCUAGAGUGCAGGAGAGGAAGGUAGAAUUCCCGGUGUAGCGGUGAAAUGCGUAGAGAUCGGGAGGAAUACCAGUGGCGAAGGCGGCCUUCUGGACUGACACUGACACUGAGGUGCGAAAGCGUGGGUAGCAAACAGGAUUAGAUACCCCAGUAGUC
rnacentral:rRNA from 1 species